GACGAACGCUGGCGGCGUGCCUAAUACAUGCAAGUUGAGCGCUGAAGGUUGGUACUUGUACCAACUGGAUGAGCAGCGAACGGGUGAGUAACGCGUGGGGAAUCUGCCUUUGAGCGGGGGACAACAUUUGGAAACGAAUGCUAAUACCGCAUAAAAACUUUAAACACAAGUUUUAAGUUUGAAAGAUGCAAUUGCAUCACUCAAAGAUGAUCCCGCGUUGUAUUAGCUAGUUGGUGAGGUAAAGGCUCACCAAGGCGAUGAUACAUAGCCGACCUGAGAGGGUGAUCGGCCACGUUGGGACUGAGACACGGCCCAAACUCCUACGGGAGGCAGCAGUAGGGAAUCUUCGGCAAUGGACGAAAGUCUGACCGAGCAACGCCGCGUGAGUGAAGAAGGUUUUCGGAUCGUAAAACUCUGUUGGUAGAGAAGAGCGUUGGUGAGAGUGGAAAGCUCAUCAAGUGACGGUAACUACCCAGAAAGGGACGGCUAACUACGUG
rnacentral:rRNA from 1 species